UGCUUAUCGAACAUAUAAAGGUCGAAGGGGGGUGCUACGCAGAACCAAUGUUUUUCGUCCACGUCGGCUAUGAAUAGUGCAGCCAACAGUAUAGGGAGCACGUUGCGCGGCGAGCAGCUAGAUAAGAGAGAGAGAGAGAGAGAGAGACCUAGCCCACCCCCCGUCUCCCCCGCAACUCUUGCAUCGCCGCCCUUGCCUAUGACGAAGAAAGUGAGGAAAGAGGAAAGGGAGGUGAGGGUCACCGGCUGCUGUCGGCCUGCGCCGGCGAGGUUGGGCACAACCUGGCAGGGGAGGAGGGAGAAAGAGAGAGGAAAGAGGAGAAUGAGGUGCGGUGGCUGAUAGGAGAGCGUCAUCGGAAGGAGCCGCUGGCUCGUUGUCAUCGCGCUGGAGGAGAGAUGCAUGUGUACAUCCCUCAUGCCAGCAGGUCGCAGAGGAGGAUCUGCUGCCGAAUCCACGCAGUUGAGGGUGAGGAGGACGGAGGUGAGGGAAGCAGCAGCAAGGAUGGUGGCUGGCGAUGGUUCAGGGGCCACCAGAGGAGGGGAAAGGGGGAUGAUGUCGCGCUUCUCGCCACCUCCACGUCCUUGUCUCCCGGUGGUCCGCUGCUCCUUGUCCACGCCGUUGCAACUCCAGCGACAACAGUUCGUCUCCAUGAUCCUUCUGCUCCUCCCGCUUCUCACCAAAUUAGUCUGAACAUAGCAAGGUUCAGUGAAUAGUGCCAUGCACGAUGACUAUUGUUGAUCUUUGUAUUGCGAGACAGUGCUUUUGAGUUUGAUGAGAUAUGGCCAUUCUCAAAAGGUAGAUUUAACAUAUUGAUAGAAAAUGGCGUAAGUUUGCUCUCCCGUGACCACCCGAAGUGAUGUUUAUUUUAUUUUAUUUUUCAUUGCAAAGUUACUGUAUAUAGGAUAAGGAAGAACUUUUGGAGCCUCUAAUGUUUAUAUUACUUCCUAUUGUGUUUUUUUUUUUUUGAGAUUACAAAUCCUUGCAUGAUCUACAAGUUUCAACCGACUAGUGAACUCAAAAUUGUAUUUUUGCUAGCCUGUUACUGUGUUACAUGGCGUUCUGAAUCUUGAUUUCCAUCUAUAUGUAUGACUUCUUGGUAUGCCUCUAUUGUUGCACUAUCACAUGGAUCAAAUAUGCUAAAAGAUGCUUGCAUUGAUAACUGUGUUUAGUUGUUUACUGUUGGAUUGCUCUUGCACAAUAGUAAUAAACAUGCGGAUAAAUCAUGGCUUGGCCUGGCAGUGACCAUGUUAGUCUGCUUAGUGUUCCUACUCUCUACACUCCAUGGAAUACCAGCCCAUUUUUAAACCAGCCCAGAAGUAACGACAACAAUGUAGGCACCACAAAUAAUUUAUUUGCAUAUUACUCGACUCCUUUCUUUGAAUUUUCUGACAGUCGUGUGUCACUGCACUUAAUGUGCACACCUACUGCAAAACUUUAUUACCAGAUUUCAGAUUUUAUCUCUUUUUUCAUUAGAUGAAUUUAGGUGUAAUAGUUUUCUCUUUUCCUAUGUUUGCAUUUAGUUAACUUGUCAUCUAAACGCUGAAUUAGUUACAGAACUGCAGUCUGAAAGGUGAAGGAUAGCAUGCUAUCCAGGUUAUGUUGUCGAAGGGGAUCAUUGGUCGUGUCUCCACUCUAGCAUAGCUAAUAACUACUCAUCGUAUAUUUGCAUUUAGUAGCCUCAAACAUCAAAUUUCUUCUUAUGUUUCUUCUCUAGCAUGUUGCUCGCUGGUUUUAAUAUUGAUUUAGGUAGAAUUUGUUUAGUUUAGGGCAUGGUCCAACUCUCAAUUACAUACACGGACCUUCUGGAUGGCUGUCGUGGUUGUUUCGGUCCGCUUUUAUGUAGGGAGACCGUAUUCCGGUCCUAAAACGAAUAAAAUUGAAGUAAAAAGGUAUUUCUUUGGCUUCUUGGGUUGCUUCUCUUUCUUUGUCUCUAGGGACGGAUAAGAAGGCGUUUCUUUUGCUCUUGGUGUUGCAGAUGCACCAACCUAUGCACAAUAUGAAGGUACUAGACAAUAAUGCACUUUAGAUGGUACACUGGUGCUGAUGAAUCAAUCUUUUUUGUUAUCUGCUUUAUGCUUCUAAAAGUGUGUGCUAGAUUAUCUAUUAUAUUCAGAGAAUACUAUAUCACACAUGUAGUGCUUGUUGGAUAUUUUCACUUGAUUUGGAUAAUUUAAGUGCGACUAUAUUUUUCUUAAUUGUUCCUAUUCUUUGAGAGUGCUUCAGUUUCCGUGUCAGUGCAAAUAUAUCUGUGUAAAUUCUCAUAAAGCUCCUAUUGGUGUUUCAGUUGUUUACAAUACGACCCCUCACAAAGCAAACAAAAUAGCAACACCGGAGACAUUUUAUUGAUUGAAACAUGCAUAUUGGAUGAAGGAAUGCCAAAUCAAUACGGUCUCACACGAUGGUGGUUCAUAAUUUAUCUCUCUUUCUUGAUCCUGUCUUUCUAAGUAUAUAUAGAUCAUGCAAGAAAGUCAUACUUGGGCAUUAUCUUGCAAGAAAGUCAUACUUGGGCAUUAUCCUGCAAGGAGUUGUGUAACCAUCCCAGUAGCUGCAGGCACACUUGGUUUCUAAUAUUUUUAUGUUGUAAUUUGCACUGGGACUGAUGACUAAUGUCGCCAGUUUGGUGGAUGUGCCCCUACUUUGCUAUAUUUCCCAGCCUUUUGUCAUUCUGGUGUAUUUUCAUUGCAAAUAAUCUGAAGGCAAUCUCAACUUGUUCGUUGAUCUCUUCUAGACCAUGGUUCAUGCAUCUAUAAUUGCAGUGGCCAAUUUAAAUGAUGUGAUGUACAAUAAUACAGGUUGCACAUCUGUUUAUAGAGGGCUUGUGAUCUCAUCUCGCCUUCAUGGCUGAGUGUUCAAUUAAAAUCAUACUUUUAC